rnacentral:misc_RNA from 1 species
CCUCCUUAAAAAAAAUCGUUUGUUAUAGGCGUUCACACGAAUUACUUAUUUGUCUUCAUUCUUUAAUAUUUAAAGAUGAAAGACGAGUUCUUUAAAAUUUUUAUAAGUUCAAUCAAGUCAUAUCGAAAACAAUUAUUUGUUUUAGGAUAUGCAAAUUAACUACUCAUAUUAAAGGUUUUAUUAUUCUUUUAAUCCGAAACCUUUUAUGAGUAACUGCAAAGUAAUUUGGCGUUAUAGUAGAUAGAAAUAUUUGAAAAUAUCAUUAAGUUAAUUGAUGUAAUAUGGUCAAGUAAUGAAGUGCAAACGGUGGAUGC